rnacentral:rRNA from 1 species
AUGGACCUGCGGAUGAUAAAUCUUGAAGUCAGCACAGCUGGAGUACCACGAGAGCUGUUGAACAAUAGGUGGAUGUGUACCAUGAGUGAAAUUUGGAAGUCAGAACUUGGAACCAUGUUCAGCAAGUAUCAUUGUAGCGGUGUAGAAAAAUGUAAAGGAUACUACAGGAAAGAUGAAACGGAGACCUUGACAAAGCAGUCAUGGAAAUGCAGCCUGACCAAGGAUGCUGCCAUCCUGGUCUCCUGGGCAACAGCCUGCGCCACGAUGGAUUGCACAAUCUCCUUUGCCUUCGGGCAAGAGUGA